rnacentral:misc_RNA from 1 species
AACGCAUAUUGCGCCCAAGCCUUCGGGCAAGGGCAUGUCUGCCUCAGCGUCGGUUUAACCCCUCACUCAACCUCCUAUACUUUCGUAUAAGAGGCUUGCUUGUCUGAUUGUCAAGCCUUGAGUGGAUCUGGCUCUCUCGAUUCAUUCUUUCCAUGAAAGAAAGGAUUGAGUUAGCUGAAGCAAAGCGGCUAGAACAUGGACCAUUUGAUGGGUCACAACUGGAUAGGUAGAGCGGCUUCCUAGUCGACUACACGAAGUUGUGGCUUGUGGACUUUGUUGGCGGCCAAAUCAGGAAACUUUAUAUCAAACAUUCGACCUGAGCUCAGGCAAGGCUACCCGCUGAACUUAA